rnacentral:rRNA from 1 species
GACUCACGCAGGAAUCUUACCGGGUCCGGACACACUGAGGAUUGACAGAUAAUAACGGGUUGGUUCUUCGGAACCGACUCUUAAAAAUAUGAUAGCUCUUUCAUAAUUAUGUGAUAGGUGGUGCAUGGCCGUUCUUAGUUCGUGGAGUGAUCUGUCUGCUUAAUUGCGUUUUCAUUAUGGCUGACUAUAGUAUGUGUAUUUAUAUGCUCUCGCGGUAUGUAAAUCACGUCUGUCGGCUUUGAAAUGCAACGAACGUGACCGCAACCUCUUGUUGCACCUUAGCUGCUCAAGGUGCUCAACUAGAGGGACCGCUGUAUUUUUUCUUUUAGCCAGAGGAAGGAUGCGGCAAUAACA